UCCGGUUGAUCCUGCCGGACCCCACUGCUAUCGGGGUGGGACUAAGACAUGCUAGUCGUGCGCCUCCAAGCCACGGUGGAGGCGCGGCGCACAGCUCAGUAACACGUGGCUAACCUACCCUUGGGACAGGGACAACCCCGGGAAACUGGGGCUAAUCCCCGAUAGGUGAGGACUCCUGGAAUGGGUCCUCGCUGAAAGGGCGUCUAGACCAUGCUUCUAGACGCUGCCCAAGGAUGGGGCCGCGGCCGAUCAGGUUGUUGGUGAGGUAACGGCUCACCAAGCCUAAGACCGGUACGGGCCGUGAGAGCGGGAGCCCGGAGAUGGACACUGAGACAAGGGUCCAGGCCCUACGGGGCGCAGCAGUCGCGAAACCUCCGCAAUACGCGAAAGCGUGACGGGGCCACCCCGAGUGCCGUCCGCUGAGGACGGCUUUUCCCCAGUGUAGACAGCUGGGGGAAUAAGGGGAGGGCAAGUCGGGUGUCAGCCGCCGCGGUAAUACCCGCUCCCCGAGUGGUGGGGACGCUUAUUGGGCCUAAAGCAUCCGUAGCCGGCUGGACAAGUCCCCUGUUAAAUCCAGCGAUUUAAUCGCUGGACUGCGGGGGAUACUGUCCAGCUAGGGGGCGGGAGAGGCCGGCGGUAUUCCCGGGGUAGGGGUGAAAUCUUAUAAUCCCGGGAGGACCACCAGUGGCGAAGGCCGCCGGCUGGAACGCGCCCGACGGUGAGGGAUGAAAGCUGGGGGAGCGAACCGGAUUAGAUACCCGGGUAGUCCCAGCUGUAAACGAUGCGGGCUAGGUGUUGGCACGGCUACAAGCCGUGUCAGUGCCGCAGGGAAGCCGUUAAGCCCGCCGCCUGGGGAGUACGGCCGCAAGGCUGAAACUUAAAGGAAUUGGCGGGGGAGCACCACAAGGGGUGAAGCUUGCGGUUUAAUUGGAGUCAACGCCGGG
rnacentral:rRNA from 1 species